rnacentral:rRNA from 1 species
AUGGAAAACCUGUUUCACCUGUGGUAUGUGUCCUAUGGUACUAAUGGAUUUGGUCAGUGUCCUGUUGGCAGAUUAACUUCACUUCAAGAAUUGUAUAACUUCAGUAUUCAGUCAGAGGAAGGUUACCGAAUAAGUUCAUUGAUGAAUUUAACAAGCCUUUGCAAGCUACGACUGUGCAACCUUGAGAAUGUUGAAAGGCAUGAAGAGGUUAUAGAGGCCAAGAUAAAUGAGAAAUCCUAUCUUAGGUCACUGUCACUUAACUGGUCUGAAACUAAUGAGGCUCUGAAGGAAGACAAUCUGGUUCUUGAUAUACUUGAGCCACAUGCUCGUCUUGAAAAUCUUGAAAUUACAGGAUACAGUGGUGUCCGAUUCCCACCUUGA